GAUGAACGCUGGCGGCGUGCCUAAUACAUGCAAGUCGAGCGAACGGACGAGAAGCUUGCUUUUCUGAUGUUAGCGGCGGACGGGUGAGUAACACGUGGAUAACCUACCUAUAAGACUGGGAUAACUUCGGGAAACCGGAGCUAAUACCGGAUAAUAUUUUGAACCGCAUGGUUCAAAAGUGAAAGACGGUCUUGCUGUCACUUAUAGAUGGAUCCGCGCUGCAUUAGCUAGUUGGUAAGGUAACGGCUUACCAAGGCAACGAUGCAUAGCCGACCUGAGAGGAUGAUCAGCCACACUGGAACUGAGACACGGUCCAGACUCCUACGGGAGGCAGCAGUAGGGAAUCUUCCGCAAUGGGCGAAAGCCUGACGGAGCAACGCCGCGUGAGUGAUGAAGGUCUUCGGAUCGUAAAACUCUGUUAUUAGGGAAGAACAUAUGUGUAAGUAACUGUGCACAUCUUGACGGUACCUAAUCAGAAAGCCACGGCUAACUACGUG
rnacentral:rRNA from 1 species